GGGUUGUGAGGUUAAGCGACUAAGCGUACACGGUGGAUGCCCUGGCAGUCAGAGGCGAUGAAGGACGUGCUAAUCUGCGAUAAGCGUCGGUAAGGUGAUAUGAACCGUUAUAACCGGCGAUUUCCGAAUGGGGAAACCCAGUGUGAUUCGUCACACUAUCAUUAACUGAAUCCAUAGGUUAAUGAGGCGAACCGGGGGAACUGAAACAUCUAAGUACCCCGAGGAAAAGAAAUCAACCGAGAUUCCCCCAGUAGCGGCGAGCGAACGGGGAGCAGCCCAGAGCCUGAAUCAGUGUGUGUGUUAGUGGAAGCGUCUGGAAAGGCGCGCGAUACAGGGUGACAGCCCCGUACACAAAAAUGCACAUACUGUGAGCUCGAUGAGUAGGGCGGGACACGUGGUAUCCUGUCUGAAUAUGGGGGGACCAUCCUCCAAGGCUAAAUACUCCUGACUGACCGAUAGUGAACCAGUACCGUGAGGGAAAGGCGAAAAGAACCCCGGCGAGGGGAGUGAAAAAGAACCUGAAACCGUGUACGUACAAGCAGUGGGAGCACAGAGCAAUCUGUGUGACUGCGUACCUUUUGUAUAAUGGGUCAGCGACUUAUAUUCUGUAGCAAGGUUAACCGAAUAGGGGAGCCGAAGGGAAACCGAGUCUUAACUGGGCGUUAAGUUGCAGGGUAUAGACCCGAAACCCGGUGAUCUAGCCAUGGGCAGGUUGAAGGUUGGGUAACACUAACUGGAGGACCGAACCGACUAAUGUUGAAAAAUUAGCGGAUGACUUGUGGCUGGGGGUGAAAGGCCAAUCAAACCGGGAGAUAGCUGGUUCUCCCCGAAAGCUAUUUAGGUAGCGCCUCGUGAAUUCAUCUCCGGGGGUAGAGCACUGUUUCGGCAAGGGGGUCAUCCCGACUUACCAACCCGAUGCAAACUGCGAAUACCGGAGAAUGUUAUCACGGGAGACACACGGCGGGUGCUAACGUCCGUCGUGAAGAGGGAAACAACCCAGACCGCCAGCUAAGGUCCCAAAGUCAUGGUUAAGUGGGAAACGAUGUGGGAAGGCCCAGACAGCCAGGAUGUUGGCUUAGAAGCAGCCAUCAUUUAAAGAAAGCGUAAUAGCUCACUGGUCGAGUCGGCCUGCGCGGAAGAUGUAACGGGGCUAAACCAUGCACCGAAGCUGCGGCAGCGACGCUGAUGCGUUGUUGGGUAGGGGAGCGUUCUGUAAGCCUGCGAAGGUGUGCUGUGAGGCAUGCUGGAGGUAUCAGAAGUGCGAAUGCUGACAUAAGUAACGAUAAAGCGGGUGAAAAGCCCGCUCGCCGGAAGACCAAGGGUUCCUGUCCAACGUUAAUCGGGGCAGGGUGAGUCGACCCCUAAGGCGAGGCCGAAAGGCGUAGUCGAUGGGAAACAGGUUAAUAUUCCUGUACUUGGUGUUACUGCGAAGGGGGGACGGAGAAGGCUAUGUUGGCCGGGCGACGGUUGUCCCGGUUUAAGCGUGUAGGCUGGUUUUCCAGGCAAAUCCGGAAAAUCAAGGCUGAGGCGUGAUGACGAGGCACUACGGUGCUGAAGCAACAAAUGCCCUGCUUCCAGGAAAAGCCUCUAAGCAUCAGGUAACAUCAAAUCGUACCCCAAACCGACACAGGUGGUCAGGUAGAGAAUACCAAGGCGCUUGAGAGAACUCGGGUGAAGGAACUAGGCAAAAUGGUGCCGUAACUUCGGGAGAAGGCACGCUGAUAUGUAGGUGAAGUCCCUCGCGGAUGGAGCUGAAAUCAGUCGAAGAUACCAGCUGGCUGCAACUGUUUAUUAAAAACACAGCACUGUGCAAACACGAAAGUGGACGUAUACGGUGUGACGCCUGCCCGGUGCCGGAAGGUUAAUUGAUGGGGUCAGCGCAAGCGAAGCUCUUGAUCGAAGCCCCGGUAAACGGCGGCCGUAACUAUAACGGUCCUAAGGUAGCGAAAUUCCUUGUCGGGUAAGUUCCGACCUGCACGAAUGGCGUAAUGAUGGCCAGGCUGUCUCCACCCGAGACUCAGUGAAAUUGAACUCGCUGUGAAGAUGCAGUGUACCCGCGGCAAGACGGAAAGACCCCGUGAACCUUUACUAUAGCUUGACACUGAACAUUGAGCCUUGAUGUGUAGGAUAGGUGGGAGGCUUUGAAGUGUGGACGCCAGUCUGCAUGGAGCCGACCUUGAAAUACCACCCUUUAAUGUUUGAUGUUCUAACGUGGACCCGUAAUCCGGGUUGCGGACAGUGUCUGGUGGGUAGUUUGACUGGGGCGGUCUCCUCCUAAAGAGUAACGGAGGAGCACGAAGGUUGGCUAAUCCUGGUCGGACAUCAGGAGGUUAGUGCAAUGGCAUAAGCCAGCUUGACUGCGAGCGUGACGGCGCGAGCAGGUGCGAAAGCAGGUCAUAGUGAUCCGGUGGUUCUGAAUGGAAGGGCCAUCGCUCAACGGAUAAAAGGUACUCCGGGGAUAACAGGCUGAUACCGCCCAAGAGUUCAUAUCGACGGCGGUGUUUGGCACCUCGAUGUCGGCUCAUCACAUCCUGGGGCUGAAGUAGGUCCCAAGGGUAUGGCUGUUCGCCAUUUAAAGUGGUACGCGAGCUGGGUUUAGAACGUCGUGAGACAGUUCGGUCCCUAUCUGCCGUGGGCGCUGGAGAACUGAGGGGGGCUGCUCCUAGUACGAGAGGACCGGAGUGGACGCAUCACUGGUGUUCGGGUUGUCAUGCCAAUGGCACUGCCCGGUAGCUAAAUGCGGAAGAGAUAAGUGCUGAAAGCAUCUAAGCACGAAACUUGCCCCGAGAUGAGUUCUCCCUGACUCCUUGAGAGUCCUGAAGGAACGUUGAAGACGACGACGUUGAUAGGCCGGGUGUGUAAGCGCAGCGAUGCGUUGAGCUAACCGGUACUAAUGAACCGUGAGGCUUAACCUUACAACGCCGAAGCUGUU
rnacentral:rRNA from 1 species